ACAGGUGACGUUUUAAAUGAACGACGGGCGGAACCCGGCUUCCACAUUUUCAAUGGACGACGGGCGGAACCCGGCUUCCACAUUUCAUUUCCGGGAUUUCCCCGAAGUCAAAUUAAGCCUGAUCACGCUCAGGUGGGGCAAAUUAACACAGCGGUUGCUAAUAGGCUGACAAGGAGAAGAGUCAGUGUAUAAAGACACCUUUGCAGACAUCAAACCGGGUGCUUGUGGUAUACUUUGUGUACGUUGUGUUGCUGCUUUGCAGACGGACCACGCUGGUCGGAUCGCUCUCCUGGGGAAGAGAGUAAGAGACAAUCAGUCGACGAAGGAAUAUUGUGGAGUUUCCGUGAGAAAGAGUGGACACAGAGCCAUCAAGAGCACAGUGAACAGAGGUUAUUGGCAACCAAGCGUGAGUAACCGCGGUGAUACUUAUCUGUACAUAACUGGUAUGAAGAGUUGUCCUGGUGUGUGUUCUUGUGUUUCUUGAGGUCCCUGGCCCCACUGGAGAGGAAAGCGUGGGUGAGCCGCGGGUUGACCGGAAGCACGGGCGAAGCACCGUUCACCAGUAAGCCAGUGGCCCUGUGGGAAAAAGGAAGUGCAGGUGAGCCAGGGAAGUGAUAACCGACACGCCGGGCCUGUGAAUAUCACACAUCUCUCCCUCGUUUGUGAUCCAGUUGUUGCCCAACCGUUCUCUCGAGGUCGUCGUAGUCAGGUGGCAAGGACGAUCUAAAAUUCACGUGACAUUGUAUAAGAGUGCUGUGGGUGAGUUUCACUGAUUGAUGGUGUUUACGCUUUACUUGCUGUGUGUAUGCUGUGCUUGUAGCGUUCAAACUGCCUAGCCUCCGACGAGACACGAGAUGAUGACAUCCGUUGUGGCCUGAGUCCUACAGAGAGAGAGAAAAUCAAGCCCUGUGCCCGGGGUGUGACAACGAGAGCUUCGUUUAUACACAGAGCAGACAGUGGUAAAACGCAGUGAGUAAUAUCUAGUGUGUACCGUGUGGAUUGUGGGUCGUAACGGUGUGUGUGCUGACCUCUUCAACGGCAGCUUGUGGUGAACGGAGCCCCGACGAAAGUUCGCCCCAGCUCGUGACCCCGGUCGUGGAAGAAGGAGGGGGAGUUUGGGAAGCGUUCGGCUCCGUGCCAUCGGACCCACUAGUCCCUACGACGCCCGGACAGCCAAACUGGAGGGGCGAAGGAAUACAGUACACCGACACGGUAGCGAAAUCCACUGUAUAUAGCAGCUACCUACCUGAAUCAGUGAAGCUCUGUGUGGGAACGAGGAUCCCCCGGCACUGUGAGUAACGCAACCUGUGAAAUAACCUGUUCUGUGCUUCUAGCAAUUACCUACCUGAACCAGUGAAGCUCUGUGUGGGAACGAGGAUCCCCCGGCACUGUGAGUAACGCAACCUGUGAGAUAACCUGUUCUGUGCUUAUAGCAACUAUCUACCUGAACCAGUGAAGCUUUGUGUGGGAACGAGGAUCCCCCGGCACUGUGAGUAAUGCAACCUGUGAAAUAACCUGUUUUGUGCUUAUAGCAGCUACCUACCUGAAUCUGUGAAGCUCUGUGUGGGAACGAGGAUCCCCCGGCACUGUGAGUAACGCAACCUGUGAAACAACCUGUUCUGUGCUUAUAGCAACUACCUACCUGAACCAGUGAAGCUUGUGUGGGAACGAGGAUCCCCCGGCACUCAGCUACCUACCUGAACCAGUGAAGCUCUGUGUGGGAACGAGGAUCCCCCGGCACUCAAAUACCUACCUGAACCAGUGAGGCUCUGUGUGGGAACGAGGAUCCCCCAGUACUGCGAGCAUCAGCGAAGUAUUUACCCGGGUCGGACUGUGUUUGAUUCUGCCUCCAGGAGAAGCGGAGCGCGCCACGGAUUGCUGGGCCAGAGCCCCGGCCCCCAGUCUUUUCCCCAAGUGGCCCUGGAGGCAAAGAAGAGCCACUUUAGUUUUAAAUUACCCUUUUUCCCUUCCCCCUUUCCCUUUUUAAAUAUUUAAUAAAGCUUGUUUUAAUUAUAGUAUA